AGCGAACACUGGCGGCAGGCCUAACACAUGCAAGUCGAACGAACCUUUCGGGGUUAGUGGCGGACGGGUGAGUAACACGUGGGAACGUGCCUUUAGGUUCGGAAUAACUCAGGGAAACUUGUGCUAAUACCGAAUGUGCCCUUCGGGGGAAAGAUUAAUCGCCUUUAGAGCGGCCCGCGUCUGAUUAGCUAGUUGGUUGAGGUAAUGGCUCACCAAGGCGACGAUCAGUAGCUGGUCUGAGAGGAUGAUCAGCCACAUUGGGACUGAGACACGGCCCAAACUCCUACGGGAGGCAGCAGUGGGGAAUCUUGCGCAAUGGGCGAAAGCCUGACGCAGCCAUGCCGCGUGAAUGAUGAAGGUCUUAGGAUUGUAAAAUUCUUUCACCGGGGACGAUAAUGACGGUACCCGGAGAAGAAGCCCCGGCUAACUUCGUG
rnacentral:rRNA from 1 species